rnacentral:rRNA from 1 species
GGAGCAGUCGCAGCCGUGUGUCGGGAUCAGACUAGCCUCUAUCUAGGGUCAUCGGCGGUGGUUUAUCGAGGAAUCAAUGACCCUCUCAUCCUGGAGACAUAUGCAUGCCGAGAAGCCUUGGCAUUAGCAGAUGACCUCGCGACCCGAGAGAUUUGUGUGGCCUCAGAUUGCCAGGAGGCGAUCAACGACAUCAACAGAGGGACAGGAGGUCCAAAUGCUUCUAUAGUACAUGAAAUAACGAACCGGUGUACCAGUUUUAUUUCUAGUUCUUUCAUACACGAACGUAGGAACUUUAAUUUUGAGGCUCAUAAUCUCGCCAAGUUUGCAUGUAAUUUUGAAGUAAGUAUACAUCUCUGGUUGGGUAAUCCUCAUGACCCAAACCUUGUACCUAUGAUGAUUGCGUAG